UGUAAACAUCCUACACUCUCGGCGUUGGCCCCUGGUGGCCGGGAGUGGGACUGUUUGCACU
rnacentral:miRNA from 1 species